rnacentral:lncRNA from 1 species
AUGCUGCUCUUCCGACUUGCCAAUGACUCCAGACCGGGGUCAGUGGUCCCCUCAGGAAGAAACAGCUGGCUUAAAAAGAAAAAAGACCAUCACCUGCCUUUCAAGUGCAAGGACCCAAAUUCAAUCCCUGGUACCAAAGAAAGAGGAAGAGAUGGCUGCAAAAGUGAACUGCCCAACAGCACAGCAGUUACAGUUGCUGAAGACCUACCAAUGGCUCCACCUGCUGAGAACUCUCACUGUUUCUUGAGAUACACUUAGUUAACAUGUAUUUACACCGGGAGUAGAGACUGAUGCAGAGUAAAUCAAACUGCUAUUUUACUUGUCUUACAUUUACGAUCAUGCCAACAACUAUGGUUAUGAUGCUGAACAUGGCUCUUUCACAGUUCACACCAGCUAUUUAACUUCUGCUUCUUAUCAGGAGAAAAAGCUGACUUCAUUAUCAAAUAAGCUUAUAUUAGAAUCUAGGUGAUGUAUGUAGCGUGUAGAAGAAGUAUUGAGGAUGCUUAUUUAUCUUCUGUUUAAAAAAAAAUCUCAGUAUAGGAUUAGGAUUUUCCCUUGCAACCUGAUUAAUCCAUUUUACUCAUGGGAGAUUAGAUCCUGAAAGAAUUUUCAGAAAGGCUUAAUAUCUAUUUGAGAGGGAAACACUUAAUACAGGAAAACACUCUAACUUGAUAAAAGUUACACAAGAUCCUAAAACAAAUGUUAUAUGCAAAAGGAACUCUUUCUUUAGACGCAUUCUCUUAAUCUAGAGUACAAGACAAAGACAUUCACUAGCAUAGCAACUGUUUUCACACACUUCUUAAAGUCCUGGCCAUGCUGUAGGGAAAGAAAAAAAAAAGUAAAAGGCAUGAGAAUGGGAAUGGGCAAUAAAACUAUCCUUGCUUCCAAAGGAUAUAACUAACUACUUGGGAAAAACACAGAAAUCAACAGAAUAUUUUAUAAAACAGGGAAGCAAGUCAGUGGGAUACAAGAUAAUCAUAAUUUAACAAAUAUGAUUUCUCUUAAGCUACUAAUAAUCAUAUAGAAAAUAACAAUAAAAAGAAAAAUGAUUCACAAUUCCAACAAAUCUAUGAAGCAUUCAGAAAUUAAUUUAACUAAGAAUAACUUCCUAGCUCUUUCUUGGAGAAAACUUUAAAAUUCUAGAAAAGGACUUACAAAGGAGCUGAUAGAGCCAGGAAUGGUGGCGCACACCUGUAAUCCCAGCACUAGGGAGCUGACGCAAGAGGAUUCCUAGAGUUCGAGGCCAGCCUGGGCUACAUAGUGAGUUCAAGACCAGUCUGAACUACACAGCCAAAAAGAAAGCGGGGUGGGGAGGCUGAUCGAGUAUUUAGAGGCAAACAUUGAUAGUGUCCACAGCUAACUCAAAAAGCUCAGUGGGAAGAACAUGUGUAGAAACAGAGAAGUAAUAAAGCAAAUAUGGUGAUUCUGCGUGAGGAAUACAGAAGAAUUCUUUGCACUAUUCUUAGAAUUCUUGUGUUAGUUUUUAAAUUAUCUCCAAGUUUUGAAAAAUGCUAAAAACAUAAGCUGAAUAAAUGGAAAGGCAUAUUACAUGGUCUUAGAUGAACAUGGCACCAUAAAAAGUCAAACCUCCCCCAAAUAAUUCAUAACUUUGAU